AUACGGAGGAUCCGAGCGUUAUCCGGAUUUAUUGGGUUUAAAGGGAGCGUAGGUGGAUUGUUAAGUCAGUUGUGAAAGUUUGCGGCUCAACCGUAAAAUUGCAGUUGAAACUGGCAGUCUUGAGUACAGUAGAGGUGGGCGGAAUUCGUGGUGUAGCGGUGAAAUGCUUAGAUAUCACGAAGAACUCCGAUUGCGAAGGCAGCUCACUAGACUGUUACUGACACUGAUGCUCGAAAGUGUGGGUAUCAAACAGGAUUAGAUACCCUGGUAGUCCACACAGUAAACGAUGAAUACUCGCUGUUUGCGAUAUACAGUAAGCGGCCAAGCGAAAGCAUUAAGUAUUCCACCUGGGGAGUACGCCGGCAACGGUGAGACUCAAAGGAAUUGACGGGG
rnacentral:rRNA from 1 species